GCCCCCGCGAGGAUGCGGCUGUUCCGGCGGCUGCUGAAGCCGCCGGUGCCCGAGCAGAUCGAGCACUACUCGCGCUUUUCGCCGUCGCCGCUCUCCAUCAAACAGUUCCUGGACUUCGGGAGAGACAACGCAUGUGAGAAAACUUCUUAUAUGUUUCUACGAAAGGAGCUUCCGGUACGCCUGGCUAACACCAUGAGAGAAGUUAAUCUUCUGCCGGAUAAUUUACUUAACCGCCCUUCAGUGGGACUGGUUAAGAGUUGGUAUAUGCAGAGCUUUCUGGAACUCCUAGAAUAUGAAAAUAAGAGCCCUGAGGAUCCACGGGUCUUGGAUAACUUUCUACAAGUUCUGAUCAAAGUCAGAAAUAGGCACAAUGAUGUGGUUCCUACAAUGGCACAAGGAGUGAUUGAAUACAAGGAGAAGUUUGGAUUCGAUCCUUUCGUUAACAGUAACAUUCAGUAUUUUCUGGAUCGAUUUUACACCAACCGCAUCUCUUUCCGCAUGCUUAUCAACCAGCACACACUUCUGUUUGGUGGUGACACUAAUCCUGCUCAUCCUAAACACAUAGGGAGUAUUGAUCCUACCUGUAACGUGGCUGACGUGGUGAAAGAUGCCUAUGAAACAGCCAAGAUGCUAUGUGAACAGUACUACCUGGUAGCUCCAGAUCUGGAAGUCGAAGAAUUCAAUGCCAAAGCGCCAGACAAACCUAUUCAGGUAGUUUAUGUGCCCUCACAUCUGUUUCACAUGCUAUUUGAGUUGUUCAAGAACUCAAUGAGAGCAACGGUGGAACUCCAUGAAGAUAGAAAAGAAGGCUACCCGGCUGUUAAAACCCUUGUUACCCUGGGGAAAGAAGACUUAUCCAUUAAGAUAAGUGACCUAGGUGGUGGUGUCCCACUCCGAAAAAUAGAUCGUCUUUUUAACUACAUGUAUUCAACUGCUCCUAGACCUAGCCUGGAGCCUACAAGAGCUGCCCCUUUGGCUGGAUUUGGUUACGGCUUGCCAAUUUCUCGUCUGUAUGCUAGAUAUUUUCAGGGAGAUUUGAAACUGUAUUCCAUGGAAGGAGUGGGUACUGAUGCUGUCAUUUAUUUGAAGGCUCUUUCAAGUGAAUCAUUUGAGAGACUUCCAGUUUUUAAUAAGUCUGCAUGGCGUCAUUACAAGACCACUCCUGAAGCUGACGAUUGGAGCAAUCCCAGCAAGGAACCUAAGGACGCUUCAAAAUAUAAAGCUAAACAGGACAAGAUCCAGACUAAUAGAACUUUGUAG